CUCCCGCCUUUUUAAUUUUGAUUCGUGUCCUUUUUUCAUUUCAUAUAUUUUUAAAGCAAAUUCAAUAGCUUGUCCUCUAGAGUUACAAACCUAAAAGACCAGAUUUAAAGCACUCGGUAGUUUAAAUGGAAAACCACACACUUAACAGUGGACUGGUGUCAACUCAUUUUUGAGUCAUUGAAAUUCUGUGAAGGCCUCAGGCCAGCAGCCCUUUGGCCUGACUGAUCCCUUUCAUCAGGAGCCUGAAUGGUUUCCCUUUGAGUUGCAUGGCUCAAGGUUGAUUUCUUUCAGGUGGCUAGCACCUGCUCUUGGGUACACUGCAGAACAUUAAUUCCUUUAUUGGGUCUUUGAUAAUUUCAGCCAGUCCACCAAAAUGCAUGCACUGAAAGGAUGCUUUUUAACAGGUGUAUUUCUCCUAUUCCUCUGAGUUCUAUUGUAUCCCAUGUAUGCACUUUGGGUUUGUAGCAGUGACAAUGUGUGGUGAAUAGCUGAGGACUUUGUUACAAACCAUGAAUGUCUUGUGCUUACUCUCGUAUGCAAGAAACAAGGAGGUGCUUUAAGAAUAACUUUAGUUAAUAUUGUGGUUUUUUGUUUUUACUGCCUUUUUCAAAGAGUUGCAGGUACAGUGGGGUCUGGUUCCACAGUGCAAACUCUAAGCAAGUAUGCGUCUCUCCAGAGAUGGCUUUUAAUUCUGUAAUAAUUUAAUUACAUAAAAGUUCUCAUUAUCAUUUUACCUCUUUGUUAAUAGCAAGAAACUGCUGUCUGCUAGAGACUUUUCAGGUACAGUACAGGGGGCAUUACAUGAGGUUUUUUUAGUCAUCUGGACUAAAGUGUUUUAGCAUCUUGAAGAGGUAUUAGAAGUACCCCAAAGUGCUGUGAUUUGAUCUGUUGUUUAUGAUUCUAUGAGGAAACGUUUACCUUUUUCAAAGAACUUGGUUCACUUUCUCUUGUGCUUUCCCCCCCUCAGUGGGCACUUUUCUCCAGUUACCUUGGACACCUUGCUAAUACAGGCAUUUAUGAGGGAAGAAGGGAUCUAAAUCCCUGUUGUUCUGUUUUACAACUGAAAGGGGGUUGCAGCUAGCUUCUAAACCGAAGUGUAAAUCUGACUAUAUCUACUUACACUUUAGAGGCCCUAAAAUGUAAUCUUGCACUUAAAACCAGAAUGUAAUCUUGCACUUAGCCGCGUUUUCAGAAACCUGGGCAAUAUAAAAGCGAUGCUGCUUUGCUCAGUAGAUCUUCCAGGAUCUUCCUGGACAAGUGUUACAGGGCUGAGGGACAAGUUAAUUUCUAUUUCAACUUAUGUGACAAAAAAAUUCAAGCUCAAAAUGCGGACUAGGUUGCUAAUAGUAUGUGAAGGAGGAGAUGUCUUGAAUGUAUUUUAUAGACACAACAGUCGCUUUUCAGGUGUGACUAUGCUUGCUUUAGAUUCGCUAUCGCCGACAUAGGAAAUUCUGCAAUAUUGCUUUCCAUAGUCACUCUUCAGAGGAGUGCUCCAGUUCAAAUGAGGUUUGAUAUCCUUUUUUCAUUUUUUUUUGACAAAAAUGAGUAGAUGUAACCCAGCCAUUGUGGUGAACUUAAACGUGGCAGAAUAUCCUCAAAACAGGUUUUAGUGUUAUAGCUACUUUUAUUUCUGUAUGGAAACGUAUAAGCCUCAUCUAAUGCUCUUAAAUGUUUGCGGGCGAAAUCCAGGAUUUCUGGAUUGUUGUCCUUCAAUGUGAAUGUAACAGAUAUAGAUGGCAGAAUUCAGCUGUUCACCUUACUAUUAACAAUGAGAAUUUUUGGAAAUGACACCAAUAAUGCAAAUAACUCUCUGUAUGUUGUAGAAAUACAGCAUAUUUACCACUUACUGCAAAGAAUGUCUGUUUUAAUUCCAGCAGGUGUCUAUGUUGUGUGUUAGCAUGUAAUCAACACUGCUGCUAACUCACUUUAAGUGUUUCUUGCAUUUACAGUGAGUCUUUUUUAUUGCGUUUGAUGCCAGAGUCACUUGCAAGCGCAGAGGUUUAAAGGAAAGCAGCCUUUGUAACUUGAACCACUGGGAGUUCAAAUCUUUCCAAAACCAAAAAAGAAGCACUAACCUUGUUUGUGUUCAACACUUAAACUUGCAAAGAACAGCGCUUGAUGUGCUGAUAUGCAGUAGACACCUGUUUUUUUUUUUAAACUCGUAAAACUUGGGGUCAACACGGCUUAUCCAAACUUAAAAGCAAAUUUUUUUGACAGCUAGCUGGGGAGGCGUGGGAACCCUUUUGGAAAGAGCAUCAUGGGUACACUUCCAUUGUUUCCUUGUAAAGUAGCAGUGGCUAUAUUUGCCACUGGCUUUUAUGAGUCAAAACUGUGCUGCACUGGAGGGUGAUACGGAACAGGCGAGGCUGUGUUUGACUCCAGGUUUUCUGGUCCUUUAUUUAAUGGAGUACCUGCUUCUUUAAAUCUGGUUUAUUUGUGGUUGCUGCUCUGUUUUGUAAGCAAGGAUUUUAACACCCUUUGAGGGUACUUAAUGUCAAAACAUAGUUGACUGGCAACAUUUUUUUUGCCGGCACUUAGUCACAUGCUGCCAUCAGGUCUAGUACAGCUUUGUUGGCUGUGCUUUUCUCUUAGGCUAUGAAGCGUGCCCCAUUGGAGUAACUGUCCACUAAAAGUCGUCUUGGCCAGGGCUGAAUGCAAGUAGAAGUCCAUAUUUAAUACCAUUUCUGUAUAGAGCAAAACAGAUGUAGCAGACGUUAGCUCUCUAGUUAUAUUUGGCAUUAUGUCGCUCUAGUGAGAGCUCAGGAUUUCUUCAAAUGUUGUGUGCAGCUGAUGUUCCUAUAUUUCAUUAGUUACAGUUUAUUGAAUUAGUGUGGAAAAAGGAUGUCCUUUUCCUGAAUCAUUUCAUAGUUGUGCUUUAUGCUCUGGGGGGAAAGAACCUCAAAUGACUCAUACUUUUGUUUAAGGUUUUAGGCUUUUUAUUUGAAAACUUUACGCAACUUCCUUGGCUGCUAGCCAGUGGCUUUGUUUGCACUGGUCUAGUGUAUGGUCUGCUGUUCGCUGACACUGCGGUGUGAGCACUGAGGUUACCUUAAACUAUGGAAGUUUCAGACUCCUCAGUUACAAAUAACGAUGCAUCAUUGUGAGCAUUGUAGAGGGAGAACAGAGAUAGGUGCCAGAUUGACAAAAUGGUCCUACCCUUCCUUUUAAAAGGAUGUUUAAGGACUGAAACUGCUUUGGAGACAACCUGCUCUGCCUCCUGUGGAGGGCAGAGAAGCGAGUGUGGAGAUGUCUUGGAUUUUUUUGGGAAUCAUCUGGUUGACGGUAACUGAGGUGAAAGUACUUAAGUAUUAAUGGGGAGGGUGAGCGAAUCAAAAUUGUGAGGAUGGGCUCGAAUGAUCUGAGGACUGGCAGAAAGUUGCUUGGAAUAUCUUAGUUUCUGGCUUAGCUAAGAAAAGCAGUGUUGAGAGCAGUACUCCUAGUGAGUCUGCUGUCUGCCUGUUGAACAGACACAAGAGUGGAAGAAAUCAUUGCCGUGUGACUAGAGUUUUUGGGGUUCUUUCCCCCUUUUUUCCCUUUCUUUUUUUUUUUUUUUUUAAUGACUUUCUCUGGAUAACAGCGAAGGACAGAUAUUCCAAUGAAAUAUAAACUUAAUGAUGAAAUAAUUUUGGUAUUAGGCUUAAAGCAGACCGUAUUGUUCUGAGGAUGGUUAAUUGAAUAUUCAACUUCAUGCAGUUUUGUUUGUGUGAAAAUGAUGGAUGAGAAAUAUUACUUGAAUGGUAACAAUUUUAAAUUUUAUUAGGUGUGUCUUUGAUUUGACCUCUUCUACAAUAUUGGAGUUGUCUGCUGCUAGAGUUAUGCAGCAAAAUGAGAACAAAAGAGAAACUUGUAACACUACACUUCAUAUUUCUGUUGAUAAGUUGCCUUCAGGAAAUGUUCUUCGAGGAAAGUCAACUAAAUUAUUUAUAAUUCAGUUGGUUUUUCUCAUGUUUAAUUAUUUUGAUGCAUCCUGUUAACUGUUAGGAAAGUUGAAUAAUCGUCGAUACUGUAAGCCUAGUUUAACAUUGGUCCACAAACAACACCUGCACUACUUGUUAUGCAUCUAUACAUAGAAGGUGACUUCAUUUCAAGGUUUUGCGCCCGUGGGUGGUCUUGGUGCUUUUUGAAGUCCAAGUAGAAUAUUCAGAAAGGCCUUGUAGUUCUUUUAUGUUCAUCUGUAUAAUGUAGGGAGGGGAAAAUCUGUUGUAUACAUUUGUACUGAAAUAACAUUUUCUUUCCUCCUGCAAGCAAAGCUGGUGGACUGCAGAAGACAACAGCAUGGGAUUCCAAGCUCUAAUGGACCUUUGGGAAGAGAAGCUGUGGCUUGUGUGGAAUUUACAUGGGCCUCUUGAUGGAAGAAAGCUUAUCUGUUUAGUAUUUGUGCAUUUUACUAAAAUGGCAGCUUAAAAAAAAAAAAGUUGUGUAUCUGCUAUUGUGAUGCCAAUGCCCGUGUUUUAAGUGGAAAAAAAAAAUGACCUCUUUGCUUUGUGCUGUGUACACAAGAUUGCUGGAAAAGUAAAGGAAUACCCUUUUUAUGGCUCACACAGCUUAAAAGUAGCUGUCACUCAAACAUGCGCUCACAGUUGAGCUGAUUUUGUUUCAUUCUAAAUAAAUUGUUUCUUUUGAGGAAAAUGGUUUUUCUGCCUGGAAGUGAAUUGACGACAAACGUUUGACCCCUUUGUUUGCAGCGGAGGGGUACUUGCUGCUGCGGCUCGAUAUUUGCUCUGAUAGUUGUGGGUCUUGAGCAAGAAGCAGGGAGACCGACACUUUCGCGUUGACCAGCCUGUUGUACCAAAUCUGAAGAAUCUAGUUCGUUGUGUUGCUGUGGCACCCCCCUUUGGUUGCAGUGAAGGGGGUCACUUGCUGCUUUACUCCUCAUCUUUACGAGGAAACGGUGCUGAUGCUGGCAUGCAAGAAGCAGGGAGGCACCCUGCGUCUCAGAACGGUGUACAAGUCUGGGGCUUCGCUGGUUCGAAGAGCUGGAGUUCCUGAAUUUUAAGUUUCUGAUUUAUUUUGUUCACCCAACUUGUUUGGCUUUAGUUUUGAUUUUUUUUUUUUAAUUUUGAAGAAAAAAGUUUGAAAUUGCUUUGAAUCUUGCACGUAAACCUUUGCACCAAAUUGCCUAAAGAAAAAGAGAAAUGAGUCCUUAAAAAUGUUUAAAUGAUGUUAAUAAAGCCUUUCCUGACAUACGUGAGGCGCUCCUCCAUCUCCAGGGGCUUUGCAGCAGUUAUGCAGUGAUGGGUUUAGUUCUGGAUGGAUGAAGAGUUCCUGAGAGCUAGAGUUGGUAAUUUAAAACCUUUGCGUUGGUUUCAGUGCCUUAUUCUGACCAGUUUUGAAGCAAAUGUUCCACACGCCUCGGAUGUGCAUGCACCCUGAUCGUGUCCCAGGUACGACUGCAUGUUUGCUUGCAGUCACCUCAAUGUGUAGUACAGAUUGUAAGAGGAAAAAAUGGAGGCAUCCCGAAAAUAUUGUGUGCUGUAGUUCCUGCAUUAUCCUGUAUGGGGGCUCCUGAAGGCUGUUCCAGUACAGGAGUACAACUCCAUGUUUGCUGCAGGAGACUUCGGGGCACAUUUGACAUCAGCAGAGACCAAGAGGAAGCUAACACUGCUGCAUCGUUGGCUUCAGAAACCUCUCGUGUUAUGCUUGCCGGUCUGUUAGAAUUAACUAGUCGCUGUCUGCCACGCAGAUGAAGACACCUUGAAAUUGCAAGCUUGCCCUGAUUGCCUUGACAUACUUUAACCUUCUGUGGAUUAAGAACCUAGUACUGUCCUGCAGCCAUGCAGGCUGAUUGCUAGGCAGCAGGUGCUUUUCUACAAAAGGAUGCCAUGGUUGUGCUCUGCGAGGUGUCUGUUCCUGGGGCAAACACCCGUUUAAAUCCCUAAAACAGCGAAAGGUGUGAGAAGAGAGAGAAACGCAUCUGACCACUGGAGAUUACCCUGAGACUGCUGGGUCAUAAAGGAAAAAAAGGCUUGAAGUCUCUGCUCCUCGCUCCGCUGCAAUUUGAUGGUCACCUGUGCUGUGA